UGCGUUCGAACCAAUCGGAGAAAUAUUAUUUGUCCUACCUUUCUGUCUCCUUCUCUCUCUCUCUCUCUCCCCCCUCUCUCACUCAUUUCUUCUGUUCAAGUAAACAAAUGAAUUUAUAAACAGAACGACCUAUUUAAUCUAAUUCGGCAUCGAGCAUCCGAACAGACGACAUCGUUCCGAAUCCAAAGAAAAAGGGACACACGAAGAGGAGGUGUAUCAACUGGCGCGUUACCUUCGAAGGGUAGAAAGAUAUGCCAGGAGGAGGAGGAGGAGGAGGAGGAGAUGGAGGACAAUAUAAAAAGUGGGAGAGAUAGUCGCGUAUCAAAACCGCAGAAUAAAUGGAUUCUCCGAACUCGUCGAUGAGGUAUGAACAUUCAUUUAAUUCCAACGAAUGAAACUUGCUGCUGACCUCACCUGAAUAUAGUCCGAUAAUGGAAGGAAGAGGAAGAGGAUUAAAUGCACUAGAGGAAUAGGAAGAGCAAGAGGAGGAGGAGGAGGAGGAGGAGGAGAAGGUGAAAGAGGAGAAGUUAUCACCGAACGAUCUUUCACGAACGAAUUAGCUACGACAUAAUCGACAAGGGGAGAACCGAUCUUCUAGGAUAAUUGCUAAAUUUAUGAUGGCACGAACGAGAAUCGAUUAUAAUUAAAAUCAAUUUCUGCGGUCUACCGUAUGUAUGUAAGUCCUAAGUAAUAUGUAUUAUCCUAUUUAGUCCGGCAGUUAUGCUAUGUAAUUAUUUCCGUUCGAUUAUUAACGAAACCACAUGUUAAUUGACAUUUUCAAAAUGUAAUACGAAGAUCAUCACGUACGUAUGUACAUAAGUAUGUACACAUUAUGUACGUACGUACAUAAGUUUACUCAUAGUGAAAAUAAGAAAAUUAUUAUCCUUCGUAAACGAUAAAAUGUAUUUCUAUAUAAAUUGCUUUCGUCGUUUCAAUAAAAACACGAAAGUCACGUUUAUUUCUCUCGAGAGAAAUCGUACCUUAUUAAUUAAUAAAUAUUAUUUGAGAAAUCUAUGUCGCACCAUAUGUCUACUAUUAUCCAUAAGAGUCGUCUUCGUCUUGCAGGUGUUAUUAGUAAAAGGAACGUAUAUCUAAUGUACGCCAAGGAAAUUCUAUUUCCGUCUAACUAAGCAAACUGCUUUUAAUAAAAUAUUCGAUCGAUAAUAUA